rnacentral:rRNA from 1 species
UACGGAGGGUGCAAGCGUUAAUCGGAAUUACUGGGCGUAAAGCGUGCGCAGGCGGUUUGUUAAGUCUGCUGUGAAAUCCCCGAGCUCAACUUGGGAAUUGCAGUGGAUACUGGCAGGCUGGAGUAUGGUAGAGGAAGGUGGAAUUCCCGGUGUAGCAGUGAAAUGCGUAGAGAUCGGGAGGAACACCAGUGGCGAAGGCGACUACCUGGUCUGGCAUUGACGCUCAUGUGCGAAAGCGUGGGGAGCAAACAGG